AGAGUUUGAUCAUGGCUCAGAUUGAACGCUGGCGGCAUGCUUAAUACAUGCAAGUCGAACGGUAACAUGCCCUCCGGGGUGAUGACGAGUGGCGGACGGGUGAGUAACGCAUAGGAAUCUACCUAGUAGUGGGGGACAACUUGGGGAAACUCAAGCUAAUACCGCAUACAUCCUACGGGAAAAAGAGGGCCUCUUCUUGAAAGCUCUUGCUAUUAGAUGAGCCUAUGUCAGAUUAGCUUGUUGGUGGGGUAACGGCCUACCAAGGCGACGAUCUGUAGCUGGUCUGAGAGGAUGAUCAGCCACACUGGGACUGAGACACGGCCCAGACUCCUACGGGAGGCAGCAGUAGGGAAUAUUGGACAAUGGGCGCAAGCCUGAUCCAGCAAUGCCGCGUGUGUGAAGAAGGCCUGGCGGUUGGAAAGGACUUUCCAUUAGGAAGAAAAGCUCAAGGUUAAUAA
rnacentral:rRNA from 1 species